CGGUACUCCCAUGAUGUUGGAAAACCCCUUGUGGGGUCGGGGAAUCUGGUGAGAAUCCAGGGCUGACGCGCAGCGGUGAGGAUGACGCAAAGGCACUGUGCCACUGGCGAGAGCGGGGAAGGCGCCCGAGCGGAGGAGUCCGAGUCCGAAAACCUGCCAACGCGAGGUACGGCAA
rnacentral:ncRNA from 2 species